GGGACACGUGGUAUCCUGUCUGAAUAUGGGGGGACCAUCCUCCAAGGCUAAAUACUCCUGACUGACCGAUAGUGAACCAGUACCGUGAGGGAAAGGCGAAAAGAACCCCGGCGAGGGGAGUGAAAAAGAACCUGAAACCGUGUACGUACAAGCAGUGGGAGCACCUUCGGGUGUGACUGCGUACCUUUUGUAUAAUGGGUCAGCGACUUAUAUUCUGUAGCAAGGUUAACCGUAUAGGGGAGCCGCAGGGAAACCGAGUC
rnacentral:rRNA from 1 species